rnacentral:rRNA from 1 species
AUUGAACGCUGGCGGCAUGCUUUACACAUGCAAGUCGAACGGCAGCACGGACUUCGGUCUGGUGGCGAGUGGCGAACGGGUGAGUAAUACAUCGGAACGUGCCCAGUUGUGGGGGAUAACUACUCGAAAGAGUAGCUAAUACCGCAUGAGAACUGAGGUUGAGAGCAGGGGAUCGUAAGACCUUGCGCAACUGGAGCGGCCGAUGGCAGAUUAGGUAGUUGGUGAGAUAAAAGCUUACCAAGCCGGCGAUCUGUAGCUGGUCUGAGAGGACGACCAGCAACACGGGGACUGAGACACGGCCCAGACUCCUACGGGAGGCAGCAGUGGGGAAUUUUGGACAAUGGGCGAAAGCCCGAUCCAGCAAUGCCGCGUGCAGGAUGAAGGCCUUCGGGUUGUAAACUGCUUUUGUACGGAACGAAAAGCUUCGGGUUAAUACCCUGGAGUCAUGACGGUACCGUAAGAAUAAGCACCGGCUAACUACGUGCCAGCCGCCGCCGUAA